UACGUAGGGGGCAAGCGUUGUCCGGAAUCAUUGGGCGUAAAGAGCGUGUAGGCGGUCCGGUAAGUCGGCUGUGAAAGUCCAGGGCUCAACCCUGGGAUGCCGGUCGAUACUGCCGGACUAGAGUUCGGAAGAGGCGAGUGGAAUUCCCGGUGUAGCGGUGAAAUUCGUAGAUAUUCGGAGGAACACCAGUGGCGAAGGCGGCUCACUGGUCCGGUACUGACGCUGAGGUGCGAAAGCGUGGGGAGCAAACAGG
rnacentral:rRNA from 1 species